GUUGGCUUAGAAGCAGCCAUCAUUUAAAGAAAGCGUAAUAGCUCACUGGUCGAGUCGGCCUGCGCGGAAGAUGUAACGGGGCUAAACCAUGCACCGAAGCUGCGGCAGCGACACUGUGUGUUGUUGGGUAGGGGAGCGUUCUGUAAGCCUGUGAAGGUGGCCUGUGAGGGUUGCUGGAGGUAUCAGAAGUGCGAAUGCUGACAUAAGUAACGAUAAAGCGGGUGAAAAGCCCGCUCGCCGGAAGACCAAGGGUUCCUGUCCAACGUUAAUCGGGGCAGGGUGAGUCGACCCCUAAGGCGAGGCCGAAAGGCGUAGUCGAUGGGAAACGGGUUAAUAUUCCCGUACUUGGUGUUACUGCGAAGGGGGGACGGAGAAGGCUAUGUUGGCCGGGCGACGGUUGUCCCGGUUUAAGCGUGUAGGUGUGUGUUCCAGGUAAAUCCGGUUCACUUUAACACUGAGGCGUGACGACGAGGCACUACGGUGCUGAAGCAACAAAUGCCCUGCUUCCAGGAAAAGCCUCUAAGCAUCAGGUAACAUCAAAUCGUACCCCAAACCGACACAGGUGGUCAGGUAGAGA
rnacentral:rRNA from 1 species